GAUGGUCCCUCCCUCCGCGCUCGGCGGAAGCGUAGCUGGCUUUCCUCUCCUCGCAAUUCCGGGAAGACAGAAUUGAAGUUCCUGAGAUGGGGUUGACCCAGGGCCCAGGGAUGAGAAAAGAGUGCUUGCAUUGCCACUGUACAUGUGUGGCCAUCAGAGGAUAACUCUCCGGAGUCUGUUUUCUCCUGCCAUCUUUUGGGAACCGGGAUCGAAGUCAGGUCAUCAGGUCUGCAUCUGAGACUGCCGAUAAAAUCAGGACUAUUGGGAAAGAGCAGAUAAUGGAUAUUAGUGAGACUGCUGCAAGUGUUCCCAAAAGGAAUAAACGGCAACAGAAUCGGGCUCCCUGCACACACUUCUCUUCCCUGAGAGCUUCCUGUCCCUGGCUGCUUUGAAUGUUCUUCAAUGCCUCUAAUUCCACAGUUCAAUUUUGGUUGUCAACUAAUUGUACAUGUGAAUGAAUGGACUAUGUAACCCCCAUAGAAUUGAGAAGCAGAAGGUUUCCCAUAGUGAUUGACUUAAAAUGUGAUGGCAUUUGACAUCUUGCAGCUUGGUAUUUGACUUCUGAAAUGUGCUGUGAAAGAAAAUACUGUCUUUAUCAUCCAACAUCAU